AUGCGGGGUGUCUGGGACCGGCAUCCUCCAGCAUCUCGGGUCGUAGCGGAACUAAAGAAACUCUUCGGAGAGUCCUGUUACUUAGACUCCCCCCCACCCCCGCCGCCUGCCUGGAAGAGCCCAGACCCUGCGUCUCACGGAUGCCCGCCCUCCAGAGCCCUGCAGCCCCAGCGCAGGGUGUGUCAUUCGAGACUCACUUCCAUGUGGCAGGAUGAGGUCAUGAGUCUAGAAAGCAGAAGAGGAUCUCUGCACGGCUGCUUCGGAAUCGGUGACCACAGCCCAAACAGCAGCGACCCGGCAGGGCAGCCUCACGCCGGCCAGUCCGAGUCGCCACCCAGAGCCGCUGGACCCUUCGGGCCGGCACUGGAGGAACGGGUCACUGAGGCCGCGUUCUUUGUGCUCUGGACUCUGAACAACACUGGGACUGGAAAGCCCUCGACCCCUGCACACCUGGGGGCGGGCCUUGGGGACGCGGAGGAGACCGAGGAGCCGCGGCCAGUGCCUGGCCCCGGGCUGUGGCUCCAUGCGUGCGCUCCCUGCCCGAGGCUGUGCCCCCCGACUUCCCCAGGCCCCAAGCGUACAGUUCAUGGCACGCUGAUCAUCCAUCCGUCUCCCCCUCCACUCCCGCCACCCCACCCCCGUGCGGGCCUUGCUGGCUGUAUCCUGCACAUCUGGGAACGUCUGGGAACAGCACAGAACAAAGCCGCUGGCCUGGGGCUCUGCGGCCAGGCAGCUACAGCCAGGCCUGGAGCACCGGGGGCCCCUCGGCCCAGGGGACGCUGUCCCUGGGAGAGGCUUGCGAGCACUCUGGCCCUGCUCCCGCCCUCUGGCUCCUGCUCAGCUGUCCCCCGGCUCGGUGACGGUCCUUUCUUCUGGUGGCCCGUGGACACCCCAUCCCCACUCCCGCCUCCGUGUACUCUGGACCGUGAGACAGAGCAAACCCCUUCCUGCCCCACGGCCACGUGGCAAUGCCGUCGGAAGUCAACCCCCAACCUCGAGAGACAUGACCCUGUUUGUAAAAGGGACAGGAUGGCAGCGACAUGGCAGGGUGGGCUCUUGACGGUGAUGGCUGGGGUACAGGACAACCACGUGGGCCGAGGCGGUGCAGUGCACGGGACUUCUCUGUACCUGCCGCUCGAGUCUUGGCUGAACCUACAAUUGCUCCAAAAAACAUAG
rnacentral:lncRNA from 1 species